rnacentral:rRNA from 1 species
GAUGAACGCUGGCGGCGUGCCUAAUACAUGCAAGUCGAGCGAACGGACGAGAAGCUUGCUUCUCUGAUGUUAGCGGCGGACGGGUGAGUAACACGUGGAUAACCUACCUAUAAGACUGGGAUAACUUCGGGAAACCGGAGCUAAUACCGGAUAAUAUUUUGAACCGCAUGGUUCAAAAGUGAAAGACGGUCUUGCUGUCACUUAUAGAUGGAUCCGCGCUGCAUUAGCUAGUUGGUAAGGUAACGGCUUACCAAGGCAACGAUGCAUAGCCGACCUGAGAGGGUGAUCGGCCACACUGGAACUGAGACACGGUCCAGACUCCUACGGGAGGCAGCAGUAGGGAAUCUUCCGCAAUGGGCGAAAGCCUAACGGAGCAACGCCGCGUGAGUGAUGAAGGUCUUCGGAUAGUAAAACUCUGUUAUUAGGGAAGAACAUAUGUGUAAGUAACUGUGCACAUCUUGACGGUACCUAAUCAGAAAGCCACGGCUAACUACGUG